rnacentral:lncRNA from 1 species
CACAACGAGAGUUGGUCGAAGGUCGACAGAGUCGCUCGGGAACGAUUUUGGAUAAGAAAGUUACGGACCGUUUCCCCAGAGGGCAUAAAAGAAAAAAAACAUAGAAUGAGUCCCUCAUUUUCCUGUCAUCACUUGUUUCCAGUAACUCCGGCUUUAGUACUGGCUUUACAGUUCGAAAUUCUUUUUAAAAUACCAGUUUAAAUUACAGG